AAAAAAAAAAAAAAAGUAAAGAUGAUAAAAUAGUAACCUUUACUUUUUGGAAGAGUGAAAGAUAAAGCUAGUGGGUUCCUUCGGGGAAAUUUCAUGGAUUGAAGUGAAAAGGACAUUCGAUUGUUUAUAAUGAGAAAAAAAAAAGAGAACAAGAAGGGAUUUGAUGAAUCUUGGUGGGAACUUUUUUGCCUUCCAUAGGACAGGCAUUGUGAUGAUUGCCUUUUUUAUAAAAUGUUUAUUCGUAUAGAGUGUUUAUAUUAAAUGAAGGUAACUAUAAAAAGAAAUAUUCAAUGCGUAAUCAUGAUUGAGAGAUAAAUGUGUGUAUGUAUAGACAUGUUAUGUAUUCUUGAUUUGGUGCAAGUAUUCGG
rnacentral:misc_RNA from 1 species